AUGAAGAUAAGUGGCCACCUACCUCCCAAUACUCCCCCUUGUCGGCUCAACUUCCAUGCACCUCGUUGAAGUCAAGUGUGAUGUGUGGAAAGCUCUCUUUCUUUUCUUUCUUUCCAUGUCUCAUCUACCUGUAAUCCUUAUCCAGGAAGAGACUGAACCCAAGGUGCAUGAUGAAAUGCUGCAAUAAAGGACCGCGGCGGAAUAGGGAGAUGGUUUUCAUACGAGGACGAUGCUGCAUGGCGCACGGUGGGCAGGAAUCGACGAAAUGGAAUCUCCUGUCAUCCCGGCAGCUUUACACCGUAUCCAUGACGAGCCCACGUCGAACAUGGCGACUCGAGGGAUCAAACACAUAUGCAUGCGCGAGUGAUGUUUAAAGUUGAUGUGACACAGUACGCGGUAGUGUGCCUUUGAUUCGCUAUGGUGCGAUGCCAAUCACACGUUCAUUGCUAAUUAACUAAUGAUGGCGCUUGAUGAGAUGUGACUAGCGAUGGCAAGCGAGCUACAGUUCUUUCGAUUACACACGUCUAGGUUGGGUGUUGAUAGAAGAAUGAGUAAUUGAAUGAUUAGCCAUAUUAAAAUCGACAAGCUGAAUGGCAGAUCUGUAGAUUGGUAGUGGAAUUUGCUAAUAUUCGUGUCGAUUACUUUCUUGUUGGGGCUUCGGAGAAAUAAUGUGCUGAUGGAGUUGG
rnacentral:lncRNA from 1 species